UCACUUCAGCUCUUAUGGCCGGUUUCAACCCACUGAUGAAAUUUCCUUCCAGCACAGCUUCUGGAAUCUCCAGCAGAGGUGCAGCGAGGAUCUCAAACAUUUAACGGUAUUCUCUCACCGUCCCUUCUUGCUUCAACGCCAGGAGCUUUUCCAGAAUUGAUCCUUCCUGUGAUGGCCGGAAUCUGUUGAGUAGUAAGAGCUUCAAAUCUCCCCAACUUCUCAACGGCUACUGGCUGACCUCCCAUUGAUACCAGGCUAGAGCCUCACCUUCAAAACAGACGGCAGUGGCCUCAAUCUUCUCCCAAUCGAUAAACUGAUUCAUGCUGAAUUAUCGCUCCGCACGAAAAAUCUAACCAUCCGGGUCAUUGCCGUUGAUGAUAGGCAAUUCCAGACGGCGUCCUCGAUUGUCCAUUUUCCCAAUUUCCUCAUGGCGCAGGAGGUUCCCAGUGUUCUCCCCCAUUUCAUUAACCUGUUGCAGCUCAUCGGAAUUUGUCGGGAACACCGGUGGAUUGGACGAAACUCCCUUCUCCUUUCUAUCCCUCUCCUGUACAUCCCAUUUCUUCAUCACCAUAUCAAACUUCUCCAUUAAUCCAGCCAUGUCUCGCUGUAUCUCAAAUUUCAUUGUACCCAUCCCAUCUUGCAACUCAUCGAACCUUGUUUCCAACAAUGCCACACGGUCUGUAAGCAUCAUUCCCGCUCUGAUACCAGAAUGGUAAGUCCCCUGAUCCUCUGACUCCAGGUGUGGCUCCUUCACUGGGAAUUCUGCAAUAAAUCAACUAAGAACCUGGAAGAAUAGAACAGUAUAUGAAAUUCAAUUGAUGGAAAAUAAGAGACAAAUUCCAAGGCUAUUAGAGAGGCCUGGUCUCUCCCCCCUUUUCUAACAGAAGAAUCAGUAAAAGCCUACCUACAAUCCUCUCCCACCCACAAUUUAUUCAUUCCCUUACAAAGCACAAUGACUAUUUUACCCCUAUCAACUAACUAAAGCUAAGUUGGCAUCCUUCACGUUGGAUAUAACUGCUCCCUUCUUCUUCCUUGCAUAAGUGAAUCUUAUGGGUGAUCUAUCAGGCACCUAUACUGUGAUCUGUUUGAACCCAUAAGCUGUUCACUACUACUCUUUCCCUUUCUUUUUCUUUUUCUUUUCUACCUUUUCCUCAGUAUCCCGUUUUAAAUACCAUCAUUCUACAUAUAUCUUUUAUUUAAACUUGUAAGAUACAUGUAGUCUUGAUUAUUUCAAUUUUGUUAUCUACCCUCGUAGCCUGGAAGAUUCUUCCACUUGAUCAAAUGUCCAGACUUGCAGUAGUGUGGCCAGCAUUAGGGCGAACUCCCAAAACUAUUUCUAGCUCCAAGAUGAAUUCCCCUGUAGCCGAGAGUUGUGGAGGGAAGGCGGAAAUGGGCUUAACACUACCAAUGGCCUUAUGUAACUGGGAUAGAUGGAACACGGAAUGAAUAGCUGAUGAGGUAGGGAGUUUAAGCUUGUAUGUUACCCUUCCCACUUUCGAUUCAAUCUCAAAGGGGCCAUAGUAACGGGGGGACAACUUCUCAUUUAGGCGCUUAGCCAAGGAUUUCUGACGAUAAGGCCGAAGUUUGAGGUAAACUAGUUCCCCAACUUCAAACUGGACAUCAAGACGGUGCUUGUCAGCCUCCUGUUUCAUGCGCUGCUAUGCUUUAAAAAGGUGCACCUUCAACUCAGUCAACAUUUCACCUCGUUCCAACAAAAGUUGUUCCACAGAAGAACAAGGUGUCAGUCUUCUUUCAAGAGGCAAUAGGUGGGGAGGAUCACGGCCAUAUACUAUUUGAAAGGGAGAAUGUCUCAUUGCAGUAUGGAAGGAAGUGCUAUACCAGUACUCCGCCCAAUGCAAGAACUAAUUCCAAACUUGAGGCCUAUUUGAAGCAAAACACCCCAAGUAUGUCUCCAAGCAUCUGUUCAAGACUUCCGUUUGCCCAUCCGUUUGUGGAUGGUAGGCUGUGCUGUGAGCCAGGGGAGUCCCCUGUGCUUUAAAUAAUUCCGUCCAGAAUGUACUUAUAAAGAUCCGAUCUCUAUCCGAUACGAUAGAGCGAGGAAAGCCAUGCAAACGAACUAUCUCUCGACUGAAUUCCUUAGCAACUUAGGGGGCAGUGAAAGGGUGCUUUAACCCGAUGAAAUGACUAUGCUUACUUAGACGAUCCACUACAACCAGAAUGGUGUCAACUUCCCUCGAUCGUGGCAGUCCUUCGUUGAAAUCCAUGGAGAUAUCCUCCCAAAUGGAGUCGGGAAUCGGUAGAGGAAGCAAUAGCCCCCCAGGAGAUAAAGCCAUAUAUUUAUUCUGCCGACAUACCCCACAACUUGCCACAUAGUCCUUUACUCUCUUCUUCAUCCCUUGCCGAUAGACCUCUCUCGCAAUCCUCUUAUAUGUCUUAAGAAAUUCGGAGUGUCCUCCAAUCUUAGAGUCAUGGCAUUCUUGUAACUUAAGAGUGACAAAAUUGGAAUGGCUGGGAAGAACAACCCUCCCCUUGUAACAUAAUAUGCUGUUGAUCAAGUCAUAACCAUCUUAAACAAUGUUCCCAUUCUGCAGUUCAGAAACUAGUUUUCCUAGGAUACUAUCAGCAGCAACUUCCUUCUUGAUGUCUUCUAAUUGUAGCACUUUAAAAUGGUCAGAGCCAACAGAUUCAAAGCUGGCUGAAUUCUGGAAAGAGAAUCUGCAGCUUUAUUCUCUAACCUCAGCCGAUAUUCUAUGUUAAAGUUGUAGCCCAUGAUUUUAGUUAACCACUUUUGAUGCUCCUCGCUUACCAAACGCUAUUCCAACAAGAACGUCAAGCUUCGUUGGUCUGUUCGUACCACGAAGUGUCUGCCCAGUAAGUAAUGGCGGCAUUUUGUAUGGCGAACACGACGGCUAUCAAUUCUCUCUCAUAAACUGACCUUAGCCUGGCGCUCUGGGGAAGUACCUUGCUGAAAUAUGCAAUGGGGUGGCUAUUCUGCAUCAACACUGCCCCUAACCCAUGACCUGAAGCGUCUGUCUCAAUCACAAACUCCUGGGAGAAAUUCGGAAGUGCCAGAACAGGAAUACGGACCAUGGCUGAUUUUAAAUUCCGAAAAGCCUCCUCUGCUUUGUCGUCCCAUAAGAACUUGUCUUUCUUCAGUAGUUCAGUAAGGGGCCAUGCACUCUUGGCAUACCCUGAAACAAAGCGUCUAUAAUAGCCGGUGAGCCCCAAAAAUCCUCGUAGCUCCUUGAGAUUGCGUGGACUCAGCCAAUUAUACAUUGCCUCCAAUUUAGUCUAAUCUGCAGAAACACCGUUCUCAGAAAUAACAUGGCCCAGGUACUCAAUUUCCCGUUGACUGAACAAGCAUUUCUUUUGAUUGGCAUACAGCUGAUGUUCUUGCAAAAUCCCUAGUACUGUCCCCAAAUGUCGUUGAUGCUCUUCCAUCGACUGACUGUAAACCAAGAUGUCAUCGAAAAAGACUAGUAUGAACUUCUGUAGAUAUGGCUUAAACACCUCAUUCAUAAAAAUAUUGAAAGGUCACCGGUGCGUUUUUCAGCUCGAAGGGCAUGACCAAGAAUUCAUAAUGCCCUUCAUGAGUACAGAAGGCGGUCUUUAGUAUGUCCUCUGGCCAAACCCGAAUUUGGUGAUACCCUGAUUUCAAAUCUAACUUGGAGAAUGUCUGAGCUCCAUGUAAUUCGUCCAACAACUCAUCAAUAACUUGGAUCGAAAAACGAUCUGGUACAAUCACUUUGUUAAGGGCCCAGUAGUCUACACAAAACCUCCAACUACCGUCCUUUUUCUUCUUCACCAAAAGGACAGGACUGGAAUAGGGACUGAAACUGGGCUGAAUAAUUCUUGCUGUCAACAUGUCUCUGACUAGCCUCUCUAUCUCAUUCUUUUGAACAUACGGAUAUCGGUAUGGCUUGACAUUUACUUGCCUUGCCCCAGGCUGUAGAAUGAUCACAUGAUCCCUCAAUCGUGGAGGAGGAAGUUCAUUAUGCCAUUCAAACAUGCUGUUAUAUUUCCGCAGUAGUUCCCUAAUUGGGCUGGGAACCUCAGCUGUCUUCUCCGCAGCCUCUACUCUCAGACUUCCUAAUUCCAACAAGAUGCCCUGUUCUCCUACCUUGAAAGUUUUCACUAUCGAUUUUAAGGACACUUGCGUUUUAUCCAAAGUCAGGUCCCCCUGCAGUACAAUGGUUUCCCCUCCAGCCUUAAAACGCAUUGUUAGGGCUCCCCAGUUCACUUGCAUUUUCCCCAGAGUCUCCAACCAUUUCAUCCCUAGGAUUACAUCUGUACAGCCAACUUUUAGUGGUAAAAUUUUUUCGACUACCUCGAUUCCUGGUAGAGAAACCACCACCCCUUUACAAACUCCCUCGCCUUUAACAGAUAAUACAAUCCCCAGUUGGAUACCGAAACUGGCCGAACCUAUCACUCUCAACCCAAGCUUCCGAACAAGUUCUUCGAAAAUGAAAUUAUGGGUAGCUCCACAAUCAAUCAUGACAACAAGAAGCUGCCCUAAAUUACCCCCAUAAGCUUCAUCAUCUUGGGAGCGGUAAGACCCACCACAGAUUUAAUAGACGAUUCUACCUUGUCCCGAAUUUCCUCCUCUUCCAUCCCGUUAACCUCCUCCCCCAAUUCCUCACUCUCUUCUUCCUACACCACUAAGAGCUACAGUUCCUUGUUUCUACAUCAAGGUCCCGGGCUAUAUCUCUCAUCGCAACGAUAACACAGGCCCUUUUCUCUCUUCGACUGUAAUUCUGCAUCAGUGAGUUGCUUGAAAGGGGACCCACCCUUUGCUGCCAUUGACGAGCACUGCGUAAUGGGCACAGUCGCCUUGGGAGGCACCGUAAGGGCUUGCUGUGCUCGUGCUAUGGACUGGGUCGAUUGAAUUGGGGAUAACUUCCAAUUAAUUGGGCUGAUUGGUGAUGGGCUACUGUAAUUUUUAGCUUUAAAUGGGCCUCUCCAUAACUGGGCUCACCUUAAGGACUCGUUACGAUCCUCAACCCAUUGGGCCAUUUCCAUGAUUUGGCCCAGUCCUUGCGGCCUGAUCAUUCUCACUUCAGCUCUUAUGGCUGGUUUCAACCCACUGAUGAAAUUUCCUUCCAGCACAGCUUCUGGAAUCUCCAGCAGAGGUGCAGCGAGGAUCUCAAACAUUUAACGGUAUUCUCUCACCGUCCCUUCUUGCUUCAAUGCCAGGAGCUUUUCCAGAAUUGAUCCUUCCUGUGAUGGCCGGAAUCUGUUGAGUAGUAAGAGCUUCAAAUCUCCCCAACUUCUCAACGGCUACUGGUUGACCUCCCAUUGAUACCAGGCUAGAGCCUCACCCUCAAAACAGACGGCAGUGGCCUCAAUCUUUUCCCAAUCGAUAAACUGAUUCAUGCUGAAUUACUGCUCC
rnacentral:lncRNA from 1 species